GCUGGCGGCGUGCCUAAUACAUGCAAGUCGAGCGAACAGAUAAGGAGCUUGCUCCUUUGACGUUAGCGGCGGACGGGUGAGUAACACGUGGGUAACCUACCUAUAAGACUGGGACAACUUCGGGAAACCGGAGCUAAUACCGGAUAAUAUGUUGAACCGCAUGGUUCAAUAGUGAAAGAUGGUUUUGCUAUCACUUAUAGAUGGACCCGCGCCGUAUUAGCUAGUUGGUGAGGUAACGGCUCACCAAGGCAACGAUACGUAGCCGACCUGAGAGGGUGAUCGGCCACACUGGAACUGAGACACGGUCCAGACUCCUACGGGAGGCAGCAGUAGGGAAUCUUCCGCAAUGGGCGAAAGCCUGACGGAGCAACGCCGCGUGAGUGAUGAAGGUCUUAGGAUCGUAAAACUCUGUUAUUAGGGAAGAACAAACGUGUAAGUAACUGUGCACGUCUUGACGGUACCUAAUCAGAAAGCCACGGCUAACUACGUGCCAGCAGCCGCGGUAAUACGUAGGUGGCAAGCGUUAUCCGGAAUUAUUGGGCGUAAAGCGCGCGUAGGCGGUUUUUUAAGUCUGAUGUGAAAGCCCACGGCUCAACCGUGGAGGGUCAUUGGAAACUGGAAAACUUGAGUGCAGAAGAGGAAAGUGGAAUUCCAUGUGUAGCGGUGAAAUGCGCAGAGAUAUGGAGGAACACCAGUGGCGAAGGCGACUUUCUGGUCUGUAACUGACGCUGAUGUGCGAAAGCGUGGGGAUCAAACAGGAUUAGAUACCCUGGUAGUCCACGCCGUAAACGAUGAGUGCUAAGUGUUAGGGGGUUUCCGCCCCUUAGUGCUGCAGCUAACGCAUUAAGCACUCCGCCUGGGGAGUACGACCGCAAGGUUGAAACUCAAAGGAAUUGACGGGG
rnacentral:rRNA from 1 species